rnacentral:rRNA from 1 species
UACGUAGGUCCCGAGCGUUAUCCGGAUUUAUUGGGUGUAAAGGGCGUGUAGGCGGGAAUGCAAGUCAGAUGUGAAAACUCAGGGCUCAACCCUGAGCCUGCAUUUGAAACUGUAUUUCUUGAGUGCUGGAGAGGCAAUCGGAAUUCCGUGUGUAGCGGUGAAAUGCGUAGAUAUACGGAGGAACACCAGUGGCGAAGGCGGAUUGCUGGACGGUAACUGACGCUGAGGCGCGAAAGCGUGGGGAGCAAACAGG